CCGGCGCACACACACUCGCACACGGACACACGCUCACACCCGCGCGCGCCCCCUCUCAGCAGCGGCGCUGCUCACCUCAUCCCACUGACAGGAGUCCCAGCAUCCCACUCCCAAUACACAUCCCUGGAGCCCACAGCCAGGGACCUUCUGACUGCAGACUGAUCUAGGGAUAAGACCUGGCCAAUCCCCCAAAAGCUUGAUCAUCCUGGGACCCCUCAGCACCCCCAGGGCCCAGGUUUGAGCCAGUGGUGCAGAUGUCUCAGGAAUUGGCAUCAGAGGUUUGCAAGCUUUCAGUCUCUGGAAGAUCUAAACAUCUGAGGGUGGGAGUUGAUCGGGAUGAAAAAACUAAGGCCCAUAGAGGGAAAAUGACUGCCUGUGGACAUAACGCCAGUGAAUGGCAGAAUUUUGUCUAGCAUCCUGUUUGCCUCACUUCAGUUUAGGACUCGUGUCAUCAAUAGAACUUAUAAAAUCUGUCUUGCCUCCAUAAAAGAGACAAGGAUGCAGUCAUAUCCAAGCCCCUCAGCAGCUGCUGAUCAUUAGCUCCUGAAAAAAAGAAAAGAAACAGGA